rnacentral:rRNA from 1 species
AGAACGAACGCUGGCGGCAGGCUUAACACAUGCAAGUCGAACGCUCCGCAAGGAGAGUGGCAGACGGGUGAGUAACGCGUGGGAAUCUACCUAGUUCUACGGAACAACAGAGGGAAACUUCUGCUAAUACCGUAUACGCCCUAAGGGGGAAAGAUUUAUCGGAAUUAGAUGAGCCCGCGUAAGAUUAGCUAGUUGGUGGGGUAAUGGCCUACCAAGGCGACGAUCUUUAGCUGGUCUGAGAGGAUGAUCAGCCACACUGGGACUGAGACACGGCCCAGACUCCUACGGGAGCAGCAGUGGGGAAUAUUGGACAAGUGGGCGCAAGCCCUGACUCCAGCCAUCGCCGCGUGAGUGAUGAAGGUCCGUUAGGGUUGUAAAGCUUCGUUUCAGGUGGGAAG